rnacentral:miRNA from 1 species
UCCGGGAGGGAUGGAUGUGCU